UCAUGCAGAGAAGCAGAAAACUUGCUUACUAUGCUAAUAAUCUGAAAGUCAGAUCUCUCCUAGAUCCCAUUUAAGUGCUGACUGCCACUGAGUAAGGAUGUCUUUCUGGAGAUUGCUCCUUUUGGAGUUUACUAUGAGCCUACAACACUGAUAAAUGUGGAAGAAUAAGCAUAUUUCCCUUCCCAUCAAGAAGAAGAAGAAGAUUUGGUUCAUGAUGAAGGUAUUGGAACAUCUUUGAAAAACUUGCUCUAGCUUGGCAGAACAUACAAACCCAGAAAAAAAAACAAUGCUUAAAUCUUGGAUGCUUGUGGCUGAGAGAAGCUUUUCCUAGGACACAGUCAUAUCCCUCCUAAUGCUCAUUCAGAACAGGAGAGGAGGACAUUUGGGCAAUUGUAUCAAGAGGAGCACAUGGAGGCAUCAGGUUUUAUGGCCCACAGGACACCUUCAGCUAAACACACUGCCAAAAUUGUCUCGAACAGCAAAUGAAAGGGAGAGGAUGGGAAGCAGCUGUUUCUACUCUCUGUAGCAAUUGAUUGUAAACUGGCCUGACACUUCACCCAAAGAGUUUGCCAUGGACAUUUGAUUCAGCAAAUCUGCCUCAAACCCAGAGCUGAGGCACUGCUAUCUCAGUCCUUCACCAAAGUGACCAACCACCAGAUGUUCAGGACUAUUAAAAACAAACAGCCAAUCAAUAGCAUAUUUCAGAUUGACAGCAACACAUUCAUUUCACCACCGGAAAGAAUCUAAACACUUAAGUAAGUGUGUAGGGUAAUGACACCCCACAUUGGCUGCCCAGGGGGUUGGCUCUAGACCUUCAUGUAUCAGGCUUCAAGCAGAGGUGAAAAGAAAAUAAAAAUCUGUCUCCUCCAUAAGAUAUUCCCCUUUAGAAUAACUCUGUUCUCUAUGUGGAGCUGCCACGUCUGCUCAGGUAUGGCACAAGACAGGUAUAGCAGAUGCCACACACAAACUGCAGGGCAUGUGCUCAACUAAAUGAAAGGAGAAAACAAAGAGAAAAAAAAAGUAAGUUAAAAUUUAACUAACAUUUGGGUUUAAAACUGUACUCAAUCAUUGUAAUUUGGUUUGACUGAAGGUGCAGGUCUUAAAAUGAGAUAAAAGUAGGAUCUAGUGUUAGAUUUGAAACAUAAGGAAUUAAACAGAAAAAUAUGUUUAAAUGCAAAUAAUGAUUUUAAGGUGUAACAAUGAAGAUGUAAAGAGACAUCACUUCAGUUUGUCAGAAAAAUUGUAAUAAAAGUCAUACUUCCAUAAGGAGAACAUAAAUAAGUAAAUUAGUUUUCCCUUCUGAAAAAAAAACUAAGAACAGCAUGUCCGGAUUUUGAAGGAUGAGGAAAAAGUGAAACAGCUGAUGAUAAUACAAAAUACAGCACAAAGAGAAAAAUAGUAAAGGAAUGUAUUAUAAAAUGCAUUGCCAGAAGUUGCAUAACGAAUGCUGGUAUGAACAAACAGAGCUGGAAAUGCACUCCUGCUUUCCAAGAAACUUCCAGUGAGUCAGGACUGCAACAUGACAGAAAAGGAGGACUGCCUUUUCCCUCUGAAGCAGUGAGCAUUGGGAACUUUCUGUACCCUGAGAAGCACAUGUGCUCCAACAGCAUUUCAAACAAGCUCAUGUUUCGGUCAUUUUCUGUCAUCUCCAUGGAACUGAGCAAAACACUUUAACAAGAGAAAUAAAUAAUAUGUUAAGUAGAGUCUGGAAGUAUACUUAUU